rnacentral:rRNA from 1 species
GUAGGUGGCAAGCGUUGUCCGGAAUUAUUGGGCGUAAAGCGCGCGCAGGCGGUUCUUUAAGUCUGAUGUGAAAGCCCACGGCUCAACCGUGGAGGGUCAUUGGAAACUGGAGAACUUGAGUACAGAAGAGGAAAGCGGAAUUCCACGUGUAGCGGUGAAAUGCGUAGAGAUGUGGAGGAACACCAGUGGUGAAGGCGGCUUUCUGGUCUGUAACUGACGCUGAGGCGCGAAAGCGUGGGGAGCAAACAGGAUUAGAUACCCUGGUAGUCCACGCCGUAAACGAUGAGUGCUAAGUGUUAGGGGGGUUUUCCGCCCCCCUUAGUGCUGCAGCUAACGCAUUAAGCACUCCGCCUGGGAGUACGGCCGCAAGGCUG